GGCGGCGUGCCUAAUACAUGCAAGUAGAACGCUGAAGGAGGAGCUUGCUCUUCUGGAUGAGUUGCGAACGGGUGAGUAACGCGUAGGUAACCUGCCUGGUAGCGGGGGAUAACUAUUGGAAACGAUAGCUAAUACCGCAUAACAUUGACUAUUGCAUGAUAGUCAAUUGAAGGGUGCAAAUGCACCACUACCAGAUGGACCUGCGUUGUAUUAGCUAGCUGGUGGGGUAACGGCUCACCAAGGCAACGAUACAUAGCCGACCUGAGAGGGUGAUCGGCCACACUGGGACUGAGACACGGCCCAGACUCCUACGGGAGGCAGCAGUAGGGAAUCUUCGGCAAUGGACGGAAGUCUGACCGAGCAACGCCGCGUGAGUGAAGAAGGUUUUCGGAUCGUAAAGCUCUGUUGUAAGAGAAGAACGAGUGUGAGAGUGGAAAGUUCACACUGUGACG
rnacentral:rRNA from 1 species